rnacentral:rRNA from 1 species
ACGCUCGACACCUACGGAAGGCAGCAGUGGGGAAUAUUGCACAAUGGGGGAAACCCUGAUGCAGCGACGCCGCGUGAGCGAAGAAGUAUCUCGGUAUGUAAAGCUCUAUCAGCAGGGAAGAAGAUGACGGUACCUGACUAAGAAGCACCGGCUAAAUACGUGCCAGCAGCCGGGUAAUCUGAGCGGGCUGGCAAGGC